UGCUGUGCCAGGAGCAGUGGGCACUGUGCGGACGAGAGAAAAAGCAGGGGAAACAGCUGACAGCCAUUGCUCACUUGCUCCCUCCUUUCCUUUUGCCCCUCUGCCUUCUCUGCUCCCCGCGCCUUCUCUCUCCUCUCUCCGUUCAAAACCGAACGGAGUGGGCUGCUCUGCUCUGCUCCGCGCUGCGCCUGGUCUUAACUCUGCUUCCUUUCUUUGGGAGACACGCAGCCCACCCCUUGCCGGCUUGCUUUGCUCCCUUCUUCCUCGCUCCCUCCCCUCAAAGGGUACCACCGGCUACCACACUCAAGCGAGCGGCGCAGGAGCCAGCAAUGGACGCGGAUGUGGCCGACCAAGCUCCGCCCGGGCCUCCAUGGCCUCCUCGGCAGCACCAGCUGGACGCGAGGGAGAAGGUGCCAGACCCACGCUGAUCACUCGGAGGAGCCGGGCGCCCGCCGGUGGUGACGCCUGCAGCCUGCUCGAUCGCGGGCGGAGGGAGGGAGGGAGGAGAAGUCGGGAAUGAAGCCGUAUUGGUCCGGGAGCGUAUACAUAGGAGUAAUAUUCUUUUGCGUAACGUUAGACAAUUUACCAGAUGGGAGUAUAAGUUUCAGUUUUCAGGUAGAGGUUUAAUCAGCAACUGACCAGCUAAGCCUGCCUAUUCUUUGAAUUUCUAUCCAAUCCACUGGCCACUGCCGGCCGGCUAUGCCGCCGACGCGCUGCCUCGCUAUUCCA